CACAUUUUUAAUUACAUAUAAUUCUUAAUAACCUAUUCCAGAAAAAUAAAAUUAAAGUGUAUAAAGUAGGCUACUUUUAACAUUAUUUUUAUGUAUUCAGUCGAAAUUCAACCCAGGUAAUUUUGAAACCAGCCCACCUUUACUGCGUUUAUGGUAUUUUCAGGACUAGUGUUUAUGGUAUUUGGGUAAACAUAGAAAUUUGACCCUCCUGGCCUUAAAGCUUUAAACUUGCAUUCAUCUUAUCUGAGUUCCUUGCUCAGAAAAACAACCCUCAGGUUUCCCUGAUAGUACCAAGAAAAUGAGACUUACCUGAUCAUCUUAUCUAGACAAUAAGAUGCCAGAUCCCUCAUCUGUCAGGUUUGCCUGAUCAACCACCUGCUGCCUGUUGACCAACUCUUAUUUCGUAUCUCUCCCUAAUUCUUGUUUUCCAGCAUUUAGUUGUAUUUUUCCUUGCCUUCUAAACCCCUAAUUUUAGUUGGUUGGAGAGAUGCAUUUGACAUUGAUCUCUCAUAUCCUUGGCUCCAGCAUCCUGUUAAGGCACCCCACUAAAUUCUGCUUGCCUGGUAGUGCUCAUUCUGUACCACCCCAUUAAAUUAUCUUUCCCCAGCAAUACUCAUUGUCCUAGUAUUGGGUUUCUGUGGGGCAAGCAAGAAGAACUAGACUGAAUGCCUGGCAUUUCAGUAAUACUUUGCUUCUUCCUCAUUUUCUCUUGCUGCAGCCAUGCAAGAAGUGCCUUUCACCUCCUGCCAUGAUUCUGAGGCCUUUCCAGUGACAGGAAGUGAAAAUUGGGACAGUGAGAGAAGAAUUAGAGAGAGAUGGAGUUAAAGUUUUGUCUCAGCUUGAUAUCACAAGGCCACCCUGACUGUGGAUGAUUCUGCCUCCAAAGAAGCAUGAAGUAAAGAUUACCAGAAGAAAAAGUUCCUUAUGUCAUCACUUCCUUGCUCUCACAGACUGUUAAGUGAUGGAGAAAAGUAAAGAUUCACAUUUCAGUGCCUAUUUGUAUUUUUGUACUACUGAGUUUGGAAACUAGUGGAGGUGAUCUGUAAAAACAAGGGUACAUCACCUUUUAAAAAUAUCUUCAUAUAACAGAGAAAAGUUAAAAUCAUUUGUGUAACAAAAUAAAAAAAUAAACAUAGAGCAGAUACCUGAGAACUGGGUCUUAGAAGAGAGACAAAGAAAGAGAAAAGAAUGG
rnacentral:lncRNA from 1 species